UGCCCCCAUCACACCUAUUUUUAAAGUUUCAUCUCAAAAGCGAUUUUUUUAGCCUUCACCAUAAUCCUCCAGCCCUUGAGAGACCAAGGGACACAGACCCUAGCUGCUUUGCCCAUCCUUGGGUUAUGGGUUUAUCCCAGGAAGGGGCAGCCAGAACCUGGGGUAUCUCCUGCUCCUUCCCUGCCCCUGAGGUACUCCUGGCAAAGCAGAAGCAUCAGUCUGAUGGCUUAUCUUCUCCCCUGGCUCUUUUCCUUCCAGGCAUGGGAGAAGGCAAGAGAGCUUGGGUGGGUGGGCUGGCUCCUCUUCUCUUGCUCUUUCAGGGGAAGGGAGCAGCAGCCUAGCAGCCAGCCUCCUACCUGGUUCCUACGGACUGUGAGCAGCCCUCUCCCAUCCCCUCUGGAUCCUAACAUAGAGUCUGGACAUGCCUCCUGGGAAAGACUGAUGGUUUAUCUUAGCCCUUCCCCAGCACAGAGCAGGCCUCCAAAGCUGAGGAUAAGUGAGGCUACCUCUACGUCAUCUGGUCUUCCUCCUUGUAAAGGCAGCAGCAACAUGGUGGUCCUCCUCUGCCUUCUAGGCAUUGAUGGAGACAGGAGGAUGCUUCCCUUCCCAGGGGCAAAGCAAGAGAAGAACUAG
rnacentral:lncRNA from 1 species